UAAGGAAUAUUGGUCAAUGGACGCAAGUCUGAACCAGCCAUGCCGCGUGGAGGAUGAAGGCCCUCUGGGUUGUAAACUUCUUUUAUCUGGGAAGAAACCCAUCUUUUCUAAGGUGGUUGACGGUACCAGUUGAAUAAGCACCGGCUAACUCCGUGCCAGCAGCCGCGGUAAUACGGAGGGUGCAAGCGUUAUCCGGAUUCACUGGGUUUAAAGGGUGCGUAGGUGGGCAGGUAAGUCAGUGGUGAAAUCUCCGGGCUUAACCCGGAAACUGCCGUUGAUACUAUCUGUCUUGAAUAUAGUGGAGGUGAGCGGAAUAUGUCAUGUAGCGGUGAAAUGCUUAGAUAUGACAUAGAACACCCAUUGCGAAGGCAGCUCGCUACACUAUCAUUGACACUGAGGCACGAAAGCGUGGGGAUCAAACAG
rnacentral:rRNA from 1 species